UUAUAAAAUAAAAUAUUUAUUUCUCUUUAAUAUUUUUAAUUUAACAUUAAAAUUUUAUUCGUACAUAAUUAUUACAUUCCAAUAUUCAACUUAAUUUAAAAUUGGGGUAUUAUAUUAGGUAUCUUCCUUGUGGAAGAUGGUGGAUAAAAACAUCCACACUGCCCACGAAUACAUUCUGGUUUCUCGUUACCACAUAUUCUCCGACAAUCUUGAUCGAUUUUACACGAAAUGUCUCUUUCGGAUGCCAAGCAAAAAUCUACAUUUUCAACCAAAAUAUGUGUGUAAGAUUAGUGUUGAAUGAAAAGAAUGAAAGAUUUAAAGCAUAAAUUAAUAUAUAAAAGUUAAACACUACAACAUGAGAAUAUACAAUUUAAUCAAUUAGCUCAUUUGUUUCAUACCUGUUGUGAAGAUGAAAAAAGCCAAUAAAAAUAACAUUGUAAU
rnacentral:lncRNA from 1 species